AACGAACGCUGGCGGCAUGCCUAACACAUGCCAGUCGAACGAGACCUUCGGGUCUAGUGGCGCACGGGUGCGUAACGCGUGGGAACCUGCCCUUAGGUUCGGAAUAACUCCCCGAAAGGGGGGCUAAUACCGGAUAAUGUCUUCGGACCAAAGAUUUAUCGCCUUUGGAUGGGCCCGCGUUGGAUUAGCUAGUUGGUAGGGUAAAAGCCUACCAAGGCGACGAUCCAUAGCUGGUCUGAGAGGAUGAUCAGCCACACUGGGACUGAGACACGGCCCAGACUCCUACGGGAGGCAGCAGUGGGGAAUAUUGGACAAUGGGCGAAAGCCUGAUCCAGCAAUGCCGCGUGAGUGAUGAAGGCCUUAGGGUUGUAAAGCUCUUUUACCCGGGAUGAUAAUGACAGUACCGGGAGAAUAAGCUCCGGCUAACUCCGUG
rnacentral:rRNA from 1 species